rnacentral:rRNA from 1 species
GACGAACGCUGGCGGCGUGCUUAACACAUGCAAGUCGAACGAGACGAUUGAAAGCUUGCUUUCGAAAGUCGAGUGGCAAACGGGUGAGUAACGCGUAGACAACCUGCCUUUGAGAUGGGGACAACAGUUCGAAAGGACUGCUAAUACCGAAUGUUGUAUAUUUUCCACAUGGAAGAUAUAUUAAAGAUGGCAUCUAUUUAUAAGCUAUCGCUCAAAGAUGGGUCUGCGUCUGAUUAGCUGGUUGGUGGGGUAACGGCCUACCAAGGCGACGAUCAGUAGCCGGUCUGAGAGAAUGAACGGCCACAUUGGGACUGAGACACGGCCCAGACUCCUACGGGAGGCAGCAGUGGGGAAUCUUCCACAAUGGACGAAAGUCUGAUGGAGCAACGCCGCGUGAGUGAAGAAGGGUUUCGGCUCGUAAAGCUCUGUUGUCGGGGACGAAUGUGCAGUAUUUGAAUAAAGUACUGCAAUGACGGUACCUGACGAGGAAGCCACGGCUAACUACGUGCCAGCCGCCGCAGUAA